GAAAAAGAAAGCCGAGCUUGAAGAGAAAACUCGAAAACAUCCAAAAAUUUACAAAUUUUUAAAUUCAAGCAGUUCCUCUUUAACUAAUUUUGUUCCUGGUGAGAUUGCUACACCCUCUACGUCUACGAUUGUGAGUCAAUCUCCUAGUGGUGAAAAUAUUCCUGAACCUGAAAUUGAACUUAAGGCAAAUACCGAAAUUUCCGACCUAACUGAAUGCUCAACUAAUAAAGAUGAACUCGAAUCAGAGAUACUUAUCACUGAUGAACCAGAUAUUAAUGUAAAUUUUCCUACGGACAAAGCUAAUUUUGGCGAAGCUUUAUCAAUCCAAGAGAAAAGAUUUAUUAUUGAUAACGAGCCUUGUCGUGCCACGAGGACCAUUUCCCAAAGAUGCAAACAAUAGAAGUUUUUCCUCAUUUUAUUAUUCAGAAAUAUCUAAAUCUGGCAUUAAAACAGAAAGAUGGUGGCUAUGUUAUUCACUGAAACUAAAUAAAUGUUACUGUCAACCAUGUUGGUUAUUCUGUAAAUUACAAAAACCCUUGAUUUGAUUGAUUUAUGGUUUUAGUGACUGGAAUCACUUAAACCGUAUCAUAGAGAGACACGAAGUCAAUGAUGAGCAUAAUAAUUGUUGUGUCAUUUUUGAUAAAUGGAAAAAUAAUAAAACAAUAGACAAAGCCCAAGAAGAUUUGUUUCGUCAGGAGAUUAAUAAAUGGAGGCAAAUACUAGAGCAAAUUAUUGAUGUAACUCUUACUUUAGCGACAACAAAUAUGCCAUUUCGAGGUACAAAUGAAAACUUAAAUUCAAGCAAUCCAGGAGUGUUUUUGUCCAUUAUAAAGUUACUUUCUAACUAUGAUCAAGUUUUAAAAAAUUUAUUAGAGAAUCAUUCGAAAAUGUCAACUACUUAUUUAAGUCCGCAAAUACAAAAUGAAAUAAUAAAUAUAUUAGGAAAAGCUGUUAAAAAUGAAAUAAAAAAAUCUAUAGAGUCGGCUCCUUUUUUUUUUCAAUAAUUAUAGAUACUACCCAGGAUAUAUCUAAAAUUGAUCAGCUUAGUCUUAUUUUUCGAUAUGUUUCUGUUGAAUAUGAUAAAAAUAAGAAGUUAGUAGAUAUUGUUAUUAAAGAGUCAUUUAUGGGAUUUAUUCCAAUUAAAAAUCAGACAUCGGAAAAUCUUACCAAUGAAAUUAUAAAUGCAAUUAAUGAAAUUAGCAACUUAAAGAAAUUGCGUGGUCAAGGUUACGAUGGUGCCGCAAAUAUGAGCGGUAUGUAUAAUGGGGUUCAAUCUAGAAUUUUAAAAGUGACGAAAAAUGCUCCUUUUGUACACUGUGCUGCGCAUAAUCUUAAUGUUGUAUUCUUUCUGUUGGUCUUCACGAAAUGAUGCUAUAAAAGCCUUAAGAUUUAGGUAUCUUGAUGCUCUUAAGGCCUUGUCAAAAAUUAUUUUAACAUCAAAUAAUAAAACUGAAAUUGACGACUCUAAAGGAUAUAAAAUUACAUUGCAAAACUUUGAAACAGUAUUUCUAAUUAUUUUGCAAUCUAGAAUUUUAAAUAGCAUAGACGCAGCAUCAAAACUUUUACAAAAUGAGCAGCAAGAUAUAGAAAAAUCGAGUAAACUCCUAAAAACGUUACAAAUGACAUAUCUAAUCUUCGAAAUGAGUUUCUAAAUGUAAAAGAAGAAGCUCCAGCCACGGCGAGUAAAUGGGGUAUAAGUCCAGAGUUUGGCCAAAAACGAAUUUCUAAACGUAGACGUUUUUUUGAUGAAUCUGCAAAUGACUUUGUUUUUCAAACUGCGGAAGAUAACUUUAGAGUUGAAGUUUUUUAUAAAACGCUAGACAUUAUUAUUAGUCAGUUACAAUGUAGAACAGUUAGUUUACAACAAAUAUCUACUAACUUCAAUAUUUUGGAUACAGAAGUUCUAUUAAAUUCUAGUGACACAGUAAUAUACCAAAUGGCUGAAAAUAUUCGCGAAAUAUAUCAAGAUGAUAUAUCAGAUAUACUUUCUAAUCAAUUAUUAGCAUUUCGAACAUGUUUUUCUGAAGAACUUAAAAAUAUUAGGUCAGUUAAAGAUUUGCUUAAAUUUAUCAUUGUUGACAAUUAUUCGUCUAGUAGUAGCUUUACUGAAAUAAUAACAUUAUGCUUCCUAUAUCUGACAAUUCCUGUAACGGUUGCAUCGGCAGAACGAUCGUUCUCAAAAUUAAAAUUAAUCAAAACAUAUUUAAGGAAUUCGAUGAAUCAAAAUCGAUUAUCUUCUUUGGCAAUGCUGUCCAUUGAAAAUAAAGUUACUCGCUCUAUAGAUUUAAAGGAAAUUAUUAAAUCAUUUGCGACUGCUAAAUCUCGAAAAGUAACUUUUUAAUGGGUGUAUUUCUUCUAUAUUAACUUUGUAUUUGUAUCCUUUUGUAAAUGUUUUUUAUAAAUAUGUACAUAUGUUUUUAAUAUUUUUAUAUUUUUCCGUAACUACUGUUAUUAGUAUUUUUGUCUUAAUAUUAAUUUCAUAAAAGUUUAGUUAACAUGUAAUAGCCUUUUAAUUUUUUCUUUCCUUAAGCCGUCGAUUUAGGGAGAGAUGAAGGUUAGUAUCUCUUUAGAGGCCCGCGGAUAUAGUCACGAACCUAGGCCCGUUAUGUUGUUGCUACGGCGCUG
rnacentral:lncRNA from 1 species